UGGCCAGACUGGUGGGGGAGCGCUGAAUCAUCAGCGCUGCAGUUGUUAUUCCUCCAGGCCGAGGUGGAAUACAGCCAGCGCUGCAGCCAAGGAGAUACAGAGCUCUAUGUGCCUUGCAAG